GCGGCGGACGGGUGAGUAACGCGUGGGAACGUGCCCUUUUCUCUGGAAUAGCCUCGGGAAACUGAGAUUAAUGCCGGAUACGCCCUUCGGGGGAAAGAUUUAUCGGAGAAGGAUCGGCCCGCGUUGGAUUAGAUAGUUGGUGGGGUAACGGCCUACCAAGUCUACGAUCCAUAGCUGGUUUGAGAGGAUGAUCAGCCACACUGGGACUGAGACACGGCCCAGACUCC
rnacentral:rRNA from 1 species